rnacentral:rRNA from 1 species
AUGCACACACACCUAUCCCCUAGUUGCGACUCGAUGGUCAACUUGCAACGAAGGGUCGAGAAUAAAACACACACACACACCCUAGUUGCGAAAAACAAAACAACAACAAACCACCCCACCCCCACCUGA